UACGAAGGUCCCGAGCGUUGUUCGGAAUCACUGGGCGUAAAGGGAGCGUAGGCGGCGUGGUAGGUCAGAUGUGAAAUCCCGGGGCUCAACCCCGGAACUGCAUCCGAUACUGCCGUGCUAGAGUUUUGGAGAGGUAGCUGGAAUUUACGGUGUAGCAGUGAAAUGCGUGGAUAUCGUAAGGAACACUCGUGGCGAAAGCGAGCUACUGGACAACAACUGACGCUGAGGCUCGAAGGCCAAGGUAGCGAAAGGG
rnacentral:rRNA from 1 species